GCCCAACACAGGGCUCAAACUCAUGAACCGUGAGGUCACGACCUGAGCUGAAGUCCAAUGCUUCGCUUAAUUGACUGAGCCACCCAGGCGCCCCAGGAGAGAGGUUAUGCUGACUUUUGAACCAAAUGCACAAUCUUGCUACCCAAGCUGCAGGGACCUUGGGGAAUAACUGAUGCUUUUCCUUCCUUCCUCUAGCAAGUUCUUCAUAGCUUGUGCCAAUCACUUGGAUGUCUCAUUUCCUUCAAUUUAUGUGUUCGAUAUUAGUAGAACAGAUUUCCAAGAUAUGGUACACUGAAAAUAAAACAUUUAUGAAGCAAAAUGGUGCUGUGCUUCCUUCUACACGGACAAUCGUGUGGGAAUGAAAUUCAGUCUAGAACAAACAUUUCCACAAAUGGUAAAUAAUAAUUCCUCUAAAUUCUCUCUUUUGAAAGUAAGUGACCAUCUCAACCUUCGGGCUGAUGUCCAAGCCCCUACAGUUUCUGGACUCCCACAAGAAAGAGUUCCAACCUUGCCUCCAUGAAGACCGCAUGCUCUUUUGAGCUGCUGUAUGGUUGCUAUCGAUAAUUUGGCCACCCGCUUUAUUCUCAGAUGGCUGGGGCAGGUGCAUAUCGUUCUAGAUGCUACUGUUACAGCCUUAAAGAGGUAAGUUUGGGUGUCACAGGGCAGGAGUGAAGUGCCGCAAGGGAAGAACUACACCUUGGGAUCUCUCGUCCUGAUGUUGAUGCCCCAACUGAGCUUCAAGGAUUGAAGAGUGGAAAGUAGAAUUCUGCCUUGUCCCGUGUUUCUCAGGCAUCUUUCAUGUUCACUGUGGGAAGAAGGGCAAGAAUGGACUGCGGGAGAUUUAAAAGAAUUGAUUUCUCAAAUCCACACAAUGUCAUCGCUUAUUCCAAAGCACAGUAAGAGGAAUUUUAAGUGUUGAAAUAUUUUGAUGUACAACCGAAGCCACAGAUGUAUCCAAGCCCCUGAAGUAUUUUUUUCGGGGCGGGGGGCAGUGAGGACUAGAUUUUGGGAUUCAGCUGUGUUCUUUACCACCUUCCCUUUAGUGAUCUGCACUGGCAAUGGUUGAUUUUGUUUAUCUGUGUGAGGCUCUGUCAGUUAAAGUUUCUAAUGGUAUGAGGUCCAUGAAUAAAGUACUUUUGGCAUUCA